rnacentral:rRNA from 1 species
CCUACGGGAGGCAGCAGUCGAGAAUCAUUCACAAUGGGGGAAACCCUGAUGGUGCGACGCCGCGUGGGGGAAUGAAGGUCUUCGGAUUGUAAACCCCUGUCAUGUGGGAGCAAAUUAAAAAGAUAGUACCACAAGAGGAAGAGACGGCUAACUCUGUGCCAGCAGCCGCGGUCAUACAGAGGUCUCAAGCGUUGUUCGGAAUCACUGGGCGUAAAGCGUGCGUAGGCGGUUUCGUAAGUCGUGUGUGAAAGGCGCGGGCUCAACCCGCGGACGGCACAUGAUACUGCGAGACUAGAGUAAUGGAGGGGGAAGCGGAAUUCGUGGUGUAGCGGUGAAAUGCGUAGAUAUCGAGAGGAACACUCGUGGCGAAGGCGGGUUCCUGGACAUUAACUGACGCUGAGGCACGAAGGCCAGGGGAGCGAAAGGGAUUAGAUACCCGGGUAGUC